rnacentral:rRNA from 1 species
GAUGAACGCUGGCGGCGUGCCUAAUACAUGCAAGUCGAGCGAACGUACGAGAAGCUUGUUUCUUUGAUGUUAGCGGCGGACGGGUGAGUAACACUUGGAUACCCUACCUAUACGGCUGAGAUAACUUCGGAAAACCGGAGCUAAUCCCGGAUGAUAUUUUGAACCGCAUGGUUCAUACGUUAAAGACGGUCUUGCUGUCACUUAUAGACGUAUCCGCGCUGCAUGACCGAGUUGGUAAGUUAACAGCUUACCAAGGCAACGAUGCAUAACCGACCUAGAAGGGUGAUCGGCAAAACAAGACAUGAAACAAGAAAAGAAAUACUAACAUACGCAGAAGUAGGGAAGCUCCCGCAAUGGGCGAAAGCCUGAAGAAGCAACGCCGCGUGGGUGAUGAAGAUCUCCGGAUCGAGAAACCCUGUUAUGAGGUAAGAGCAACUGGGUGAGUAAUUGUCCAGAACUUGACGGUACCGAAUUAGAAAGCAACGGCUAACUACGUG